AUUGAACGCUGGCGGCAUGCCUUACACAUGCAAGUCGAACGGUAACGGGCCUUCGGGUGCCGACGAGUGGCGAACGGGUGAGUAAUGCAUCGGAACGUACCUUUCAGUGGGGGAUAACGUAGCGAAGGUUACGCUAAUACCGCAUAUUCUGUGCGCAGGAAAGCAGGGGAUCGCAAGACCUUGCGCUGAUUGAGCGGCCGAUAUCAGAUUAGGUAGUUGGUGAGGUAAAGGCUCACCAAGGCGACGAUCUGUAGCGGGUCUGAGAGGAUGAUCCGCCACACAGGAACUGAGCCACGGACCAGACUCCUACGGGCGGCAGCAGUGGGGAAUUUUGGACAAUGCGGGCAACCCUGAUCCAGCCAUGCCUCGUGAGUGAAGAAGGCCUUCGGGUUGUAAAGCUCUUUCGGCCGGGAAGAAAUCGUAUCAGCUAAUACCUGGUGCGGAUGACGGUACCGGCAUAAGAAGCACCGGCUAACUACGUGCCAGCAGCCGCAGUAACAC
rnacentral:rRNA from 1 species